rnacentral:rRNA from 1 species
UACGAAGGGGGCUAGCGUUGCUCGGAAUCACUGGGCGUAAAGGGUGCGUAGGCGGGUCUUUAAGUCAGGGGUGAAAUCCUGGAGCUCAACUCCAGAACUGCCUUUGAUACUGAGGAUCUUGAGUUCGGGAGAGGUGAGUGGAACUGCGAGUGUAGAGGUGAAAUUCGUAGAUAUUCGCAAGAACACCAGUGGCGAAGGCAGAUCUCUGGGCCGUAACUGACGCUGAGGAGCGAAAGCGUGGGGAGCAAACAGG